GCCCCCGUAGCUCAGGGGAUAGAGCAUCGGCCUCCGGAGCCGGGUGCGCAGGUUCGAAUCCUGCCGGGGGCAC
rnacentral:tRNA from 21 species